GUGUCCUCGGAAGUGGACCAGAAGAUGACAGCCAAUGACGUUGGGGCAACCACACAGCUCAUUUACAUAAUCACACACAGCUGCAAACAAUCCCAGACAGGUUACCGAGCAGGCAGAAACAGCAGCCGUAACACUCACCACUAUUUUUCCUUUUUAAUGUAUUUACAAUAAACAUUUGUGUGUGUUCACAGUUACUAGAGCUAACAGAGAACUACACACCGGAAGUAUCAGAGUAUAAGGAAGGAAAGCUUGUGAGCUUUGACCCAACCACCGAACAGAUCGAGCUGGAACUUCUUUAUACCUAUCAAGCUCCUGUUGAGCCGGGCAAGUUUGACCUUGUGUAUCAGAACGCAGACGGCUCUGAGAGCGUGGAGUACGCCGUGUCUAGAGGCUCUCAGGUGACAGAGCGCUGGGACUCCCUGCUGGAACCAAGGCUGAUCAUCUAAAAAUGGAUCAAGCUGUUUCUCUACUUAUUUUUUAUUUCAGGAUCCUUCAGCUUGACUUAAACUGGGGAGUCAUUCCUGUGCAUUGUACAUUACGGCUAAGGAAUGUGAUGAAGGUUGAUUAUAUUCUCUUAGAUGUACUCCUCAAUAACUCAUUAUUUGCACAGAAAAGCUAGUGUAGGUGUAAGUAUUGAAAAGUGGAAUAUGUUUUGCAUUCAAGAUAUGAAGUAUUGUGUUUUAAUAUGUUGGUGGAACGAGUGACUUCCAGGACAGAGACAUAAUGGUUUUAUGUUUUGUACAGUAUUGGGUUGAUAUCAGUCUUGUAUAAACCGUUUUUCUAAUAAAAUCCUUGGUCUAUA